CCUCCCUCCCUUUUCGGCCUCUGCUCGCGACUUGGCUCAGUCCAGUUCAAAGAUGCUGACACACUUCAGGGCUGGUGCAUGAAAGAAGCUUUUCACACGUAAAUAAGGUGUAUUUGAACAUGUGACAGUUGGUAAUAUACAAAGAAGUUUUUGCUUUCUCCCUUUCAUGGUAUCAGGAAUAAAUUUUGAGAAGGUGCCAAAUAUCGGUAAGAAUAUAUGUCUGCCCCUUAGGGAAUUUCCAUAGAAUACAAUUCCAUUACUUAAAGUUUUUUUACCAUUCGGCCUACAGCUUGACACAGUAACUAGACUACCUGUUCUACAACUAUCUUAAGACAACUUUGUCAACUGUGCUUUAAUUUACAAAGAUUAUUUUAAAAUUCCAUUAUUUUGGCUGCACUAAAGAUUAUAUGUUCCUAAGGGGAGGGGUUGGUUGCAAAGGGGCAUGAGGGAGUUUUGAGAAACUGUUUUACAUUUUGAUUAUGGUGGUAAAUUGCAUUGGUCAAAUUUGGAGUGAGUUUUACUGAAUGCAAAUUAUGC